UGGUUCUUUUGUUUGCUUUUCUUUGCCCUGUUUAGGGUUCUUUUGGGGAGGGGAUAAACUAUUCGUUGAUUUCUUUCUACCAAAAAUCUUCUAGCCCGAUCUGGCUAUCUGAUACCAUUGAUAGAUCCUUCGGAUCGGAGUAGGCUAGAUCAUCCGGUGAACCUACCUUCUCCAGGUGCUGACGAGCUCGAUCCAGCACCGGCCAUGGUGAUGGCGGAGUGUGGGCGAGGUGGUGGCGGCGGAGCUUCCCGUCGGCCUAGCGCAAACCCUAGAUCGGAUUGGUGUGUUGGUGGUGUUGUGGUGCACGGUCAAUCUUGUGAUGCGUGCCCCGGCACCCCACCUCUUUAUAUUACGCUGACGACAGGGGCCCACCAACCAUGGUUUGGUUGGGCGCCCCCAAUCAGGGCGCGAGUCAGGGGCCCGUUCGACCCGUUGGGUUCGAACGGGAUAGAGAUCAAUCUAACAGGUAUUUCUCACUAGUCCUAUGGACUUUGACGCACAAGGUGUUUAUGCUGAUUUGGAUGGAGUUAUUUACUUUCUUCGACUACUGGAGGGAAUUUGGAUCAAGGUGGAGAUUGUUAAAUUGUGUUCCAAAUCAUACUGUGUUGGACUAGACGUAUUACAACCGGUGUGGGCCUUUGCGUUGACGUCGACGCGUACGAGUACAACUCGUUUACUUGUCCUCCAAGGACUCUCAUGUAUUGCCCUCUUAUAUACCCCAUGUAGUCGCACCUCAGACGGCCUGUCGUCUCGUGCUUGUAAUACUCCUCCUCACAGUGAUUGCGCCUUCGUGCGUCCGUGGUUUUCUCCGGCAAGGGUUUUCACGUAAAAAUCCUUGUCUCUCUGUCUCGUUUAUUUCUCGUUAUUAUUUAGUCUAACUUAUUCUCCACUAUGAUUAGCCUUACUCGUACGCGGUACGCGCCUUCCAACUUUUUUGCCAUGUGCAGGCUACGUCAUAAGCCUAAUCUAUGCGCUGUGAAUCAGAAAGCCGAUGCUUCUCUGUUGAAAAGAAAAGGGGCCGACGAGUGAUCAUCGAUGACAGCAUGUCAAAGGUUACACUACUCACAAGAUUCCAAGACAUCACCCGGUUUAGCAUAAAAACAGUGUUCAUAUUGCUUUCGUUUCGCUAGAGCCAGAGCCUUCCGCACAGGAGUAUGUAUGUAUCUGACCGUCCGCCACUUCCAACGCACUCAGUUAACGCAGUCAGCUAUUUUUUUUCUACAGGAAUAUUCACCUAUCAUGUGAUUUCGAUCGAGGAGCCCUCCUAUAAAAUUUUGAACUCGCUCCCUCGAUCCAAACUUUGCGUCUUUGCCGGGACGAAUGAUCCGUCACCUUGAGGUCAAACCAACUCAGACGGCAAGAGUCCACAUAAGUCUUGUCAUGGCCUGAGCCCGAUCUACCAAACACGCACGGUCUGCAUGUGCACUGCAGGUUAGUCAGUGAGUCUGUUCUUCCUUGUUCUUGGGUAAAAAUAUCUCCGCUUGUUCGGCCUAAAUAACUUUCUUCUAAUCUUGCUGCAUAUGUAGGCAUACCGCCCGUCUGAACCAUGUGGCCGCAUGCAUAUUCAGUUGGUGCAGAGGCCGAAAGAGUAGUAAGUAAAUUUCCUCCUUUCCGAAAAGAAGAACCCGUGGCCAGCUGCUAAGGUUGCUACAGACAAUAGAUGCUCUGCAGCAAUGUAUAACUAGCUGAAAGCUUUUCUUUUAAUUCCAUGGUUAAGCUUGAAGAAAUACGCACAAUCAUUCGCGCCCUGCUGGAUUCGUUUCGUUCUAGCUGUGCCGCAUUUGCUAUUCUGCAUGCAUCUCUACACUGACUAGAUGGAGCUUGUCUGUCAGGAAUCGGGAUUUGCUAGCAUUGCAUGCCGUGUGUAUCCGAUGCCUGCCCUUUUAGGCCUUUGCUACAUGCAGAAAAAAAAAGGACACAGCAGCAUCUAAAAUCUAUAAUAGAGUAAAGGUACUAAUUGGACCAUUCCGGU
rnacentral:lncRNA from 1 species